ensembl:lncRNA
CUCAGUUGAUGCAUCUCAGUCAUUUUUAUUGCAACUGGAAGACAAUACAUCACAGAAACUUUAUGGAAGGUCUGGGGGAAAGUGUUAUUUACAAUAAAUGGUGAAAUAGUUUGUCUUUGGCAAUAUGAUUACAUACGAAGGAUGCGAAAUGCAAGUAUGGAUGGAUGCCUCCAAAGCAACACCAUCAGGUCCCUCAAGGUGGGCGGGCUGCGCCUGCUCCACGCUUCCUCUAGGCAACACAAACGCGACCGAACGCCACCUUCUCCUUUACGGUUCUCCCUUUCUGUUCAUGAUAUUGGCAGUUUCAUACAGAAAAAAAACACCGACGAAAAUUGGCUUUUGAAAACUUAUUACUGUAAGUGAAUAAAUUUGGCCACGGAGGUCUAUUGGCCAGAGGUCAGAGGACCCCAAGUAUUGAGAGUAACCCUCUUGUCUUCUGAUUGCUUUAUCACCGUUAUUUAUUUUUCUGUAAAACAAAAACAGAACUCAGAAAUGUUACAGAAUCAGAGUAUAAAAAAAUGUACAAGCGUGUAAUGCUUCCCAGACACACACGGAUACUUGCUUCCUCCACAUUGUCACCAUGGCAGUGUAAGUAGUGAGUGUGAAUGACAGCGGGUUACUGAAUCAGCUGUGUCGACGGCCCGACACGCACACUCAAGCAAUGCUGCACGUUUAAAUAACUGAACUUGUGCUAAGAGUUUCAUCUAACAAAAGGGAGGGGCUGGGAACUCAGGCCACAGUCAGGAAAGGAUGAAAGACAAUUUCUGGGUUUGCUAGAUACACCAUAUCGAAGUCUUUGCGAAUCCAAUAUGGAAUAUUAACUCUUGGCAAAAAGUAGGGAAGGCUGUUCUCAACUGUCGCAAAGGAAGUGGAAAACACUGCUGUAUCUAUUCCAAAUAAAUAGUCUUGAUUUCAGCGCUAACAAAACGAACAGGAAGGGUACUUGUGAGCAUGAUCACAGUUAAGUCAGGAGUGAUCUUUCACCCAGGUCUGAUUUCAAAAGUAGGACAACAGCAGAACGCAGCACCAUAGACGCGUUGGUUUCGGCCGUUAAAAGGUGGAUCGUUUGAAACAUCGGAUUUUCCUUCCUUAAUUUUUGGUCAGUGACGCUAGCACUUGUUUGCUGAACUGUGGAAGAAUUGUAAGGUCACACACAUUAUUCAUGAUAAAGCAACGGAGUCUGUGCUUAAUUCAAGAAUAACCAGUAGGGGGCAGAGAGAGCAGUUGGCCACCAUCGCCGCGCUCUCUCCUAGGAAGGGGGGUUGACGGGUUCACAAAGGCAGGUGGGUCUACACAGAACACUGCACGCCCUGUGGACAUCCUCACGGGGCUCCAGGGACGGGGCUCCAGGGACGGGAACACCACACAACGGAUAUACUUUGAUUUACACAUUCCAUUACAACGAAGAAAAAAAAAAAAAGACACCAUUCCAACUUUGUAACUGUGUUAACUGCAAUAUAAACCAAAGUCCCGAGUUUUGGCAGGUAACUAAAAAGAGGGUUAUCACUUAGGUUAUAUAGCAAAAGUGUUGAUGUAUAUUAUAUAUAGUAGUAUAAAUAAUAAAAAAGUAUUAAAUUAGAUCACAGUGCUGCGUUAUGUGCAUAACAGUGUUUGAUAUAGUACUCGAGCUGGGACCAAGACACGAAGGGCUGAACUGUCAACACUGGUUAAGUCACGAUCAAGAGGGGACACGGAGCUCACGUGUGUUCUUUUGGUGGCAAAAAAAAAAAAAAAAAUCUUGAAGAUGAAAGAAAAAUACUCUACAGAAAUAUAAAAAAGAAAAUGGCAACAUCUGGGCAGCUGUGAUCCACCAGAAAGAAACGAGUCCCAAUCUGAAUCAAGCUUAAAGGGAAAGAGAAGUCACAUUGAGUUGAAUCCAAUCCCAUAUGGAAAACCCUCCCAUGCAGGUCACUUGUACAGAACUCUGAUUCCUUCUCCGAGAGCUCUUGGAUGAGACGCUGGGGGCCCACACGUGUGGAGUGCGGGGCGGAGGGCACUGAGGCGGGGGGGCUGGUAGCAUUCGGGCCCCAGGACUGAGCUGGACAAAGGCCAUCUGGAAGGUCUUCACGCUACAAAGCCCACAGCCCGAAGCUGGCCCCCCAGGUGAGAUGUGGUAUUCACGGCCUCGCCCAGCCUAACCCUGUGCCUCUCCCAGGGAAAUAAAAAAAACCAGCUCUUGGGAGAAGCUUCCCACAGUCCUUCUGAAAAACGCAGCCGCCAGACUAAAAUCUGCCACAGCUGUUUUGGCCAGGGUUUUUUCCAACCGUUGUCGGUGGGGUGGGUUCACUUUAGUUUCAGAUGGACAAUUUGACCAGAGAACCCUUGAACAUGUGUAUACAUAGAUACAUAUACAUAUACUGCUUAGAGAGGGGGGAGGGAAAUAGGAGCUCAGGGUGUAUCAUAAGGCUGGGAAAAUCCAUGAUGCAGACCCUUUCCACAAAGUACUAGGCAAAGAUAAGAGACAACUGCAGUAGCAGGAAAAUGACUUUCCAUGUGGAUAGCAUUUAAGAAGAAAGAGCGUAGUCUCCGUCUCUUAAAUGUGUCCUAGGACCGACAAGUAAAUGCGGAUGUCACGGUGCGGACAUGUUCACGGUUGUUUCCCCAAAGCAUCUUCAAAUAUUGCUAUAGUUCCCCACUGACCCCACCCCCCACCCCACGUGCGUAUGUGAGAUACUGGAAUGCACACGAAAUGCUGUUUCUCCCAGCAGGAGAAAUCAAAGCAAAAAUGCCCCACCCCUGGAGCGGUGCUCAGGCGAUUUCUGUCAAGACUAAAUGAGUAUACAGGGUAGUUUGGAAGCUAAAAGAACACCUGAUGUUUGGGAAGAAAUUCCAAGACUAGAGUGAAUGACACUUGAGCAAAAUACUCUUUCACAAAGAGGCUUGUGCUUAAAUUCUCUACUGCUCUUGGAGGAGGGGGUGAGAGAGGGUGUCUUCUGCCCCCGGGCUUGGCAAGGACACGGACAACCUCAUUCCGCAAUGAAGUCACUAUGAACGGCCACAUACACAUCGAUUCUUUUUUUUUUUUUUCUCAACAAUCAAAAUACAAAGUUAAACACAAUUGAGCCAUUGUUUUGGUUAUGCAUAAUGUGUAUGCCUCCAAAAACAGAAGAAAAAUAGAAAAAAGUACCCUCACUAAAGUUUCCCCUAGGUCUCCCAGCGGCUCCUGUGUUAGGGACUGCAGGAGACGCAGGAAAUAACACUUAAAAAGCUGCCCGAUGAGGUAUUUAUGCAAAAAGAGUGGUUCUGGAGUUAAGAACACACUUUUAUAAGAUAUUUCUCUAUUUCUCAAAGAGAUCAGAAAAGUAAAUCACACACAUUGCAUUUUAUUAUUUUCUAAAAGAGGCCUUUGCUCCUUUAGAAAAAGGAAAUGAGGGGAGACAGCCCACCGGUGGGGGUCGCCAUCGGAAGGAACCCCCGCCAGAAAAACAGUCCUGGAUGUUUGUCUCUGCCUUUCGGGAGGGAAGUCUGGAUCUGGGAGGGUUGGGGGGCUGAGGGGGGCUUGGUGAGGGGACACCACCAAGUGCCGCCCGGGUCCCGCAGCUGCGGAUGGCUUUUGGGGUGUCAGACGUUGGUUUGGAGAGACGGAGGGUACGGAGCGCUUCGAAAAGACAUCCUUACCCCCAUCUCUCUACGCCCAGCACAAGCGCGCUGGGCGCACGCAGGUUCAGUAAUGAGGCUGACCUGCAAAGGGCUGUAGAUCUUUUUCUCAGCUCCUCUCAGCAGCAGCCCAGAGGCAGAGGACGCACGGGUUAAUUUCUCCCGCCGUCCGGGCCGCUGGAGCUGCGGGCCGUGCCCGGGGCGGGCGGAGGGCUCUGCCACGGCCCACCCCGGCCUGUUUCAAAACGUGAAGACCACCCCAGUCCCCUCCUUCUCCCUCACCACCGUAUCUUGAGAGCAGGUGUCUUUAUGCUUGAAGAUCCCCUUCCGUGUGGGCGGAAGAUCACACUCUCUCAGAGGUUCCUCUGAUCUCCCUAACUCCUUUCUUUCAGGCAAAGGUAACAGGAGCUUCUUCCGGGCUGCGCGCCGUCACCUGGUGGUCUGGGCGCCGCGCCCACAAUCGAGGUGGGCUUUGCUCCAGGUGGGAUCGAGCACCCAGGCGGUGGGGACGCCGUCACCGGCGUCGGGGGAACGUCUGGGGGGGCUGGGCCUUCCCAGGCCCGCGGCACUCUCUCCGUCACGGGUACCCUAACUCACACCCUCAUCCGAUAAGGCCCAGUCGUGUGUUUCCCCUUCUCCUGGCGAAUUUGCACAAUCAUUCACUGCCUGUUUUCCCUAGAAACCAAAUCUCAGUCCUGGUUUUCUCAAGUCAGCGUCCCAUAAUGCUCUUGACUCUAUCACACACACUCACGACUCAGUUUGCCCUCAGAUUAUUGCGUCACGGUAAACAUGCACAGACAGAGAGAAAGGACACACUUUUCAACAGAGAAUCAGAGGGGCCGGGGGCUGAAGUGCAGACAAGGCAAUCCAGAGCGCCGCCAUCCAGGCCCUACCAGAACACGAAGAGACUUUUGUAUUGCAGAGUAAGCUCCCCAACAGUCAGAAUUUGUCCCUGAAGAAGGUUAAACCUUAAACACCUGCUUCAAAAACCAAAACAAAAUAAUCGGAAAAAAGGAAAAAAAAAAAAAAGAAAAAAAAAAGGAAAGGAAAAAAAAAAGGAAAAAAGAAGAAAACCAAAAGAACCUCUAAGCCUAAGGGCUUAAAAAUUAGAGGCAUAGCCUUUUCUCUAUUUUCUAUAUUUAUAUGAAAAUAAUUCAUGCUUCAUGCUAAAUACAUUAUUUACCUUACAAGAACUUUGUUAUUUUUGAAUAAAAAAAAGUUUGUGUUUUUGUGAUUUUUUUUUCUUUUUUCAAAGGAAUUCCAUGCAUUGUGGAUCAGAAAUUUCUGCUGGCUACACGGCUGAAUGUGGAAAUCAUUUUGAUUUUUGCAAAGAUGAAUACUGACUGACGUUAAUUGCAAACUCCAUUUUGAGGGCAGUAUAGGAGUUUUGUUUUUCUUUCUUUUUUUGCCAUGUUUUACUUUAG